rnacentral:tRNA from 1 species
AUUUAUAUAAUAUAUAUAGUAUAUUUGACUUCCAAUCAAAAAGAUUAAUAAUUUAAUAUAAAUA